GACAGAGGCCUCAAGCGUUAGGCGGAAUCACUGGGCGUAAAGGGUGCGUAGGCGGGUCUUUAAGUCAGGGGUGAAAUCCUGGAGCUCAACUCCAGAACUGCCUUUGAUACUGAAGAUCUUGAGUUCGGGAGAGGUGAGUGGAACUGCGAGUGUAGAGGUGAAAUUCGUAGAUAUUCGCAAGAACACCAGUGGCGAAGGCGGCUCACUGGCCCGAUACUGACGCUGAGGCACGAAAGCGUGGGGAGCAAACAGG
rnacentral:rRNA from 1 species